CCCAGCCAGCAGAGUCAGCCUACUCAGAUUUCCUAUCCGUGAUGUGGGAGCGUUGAUUUUUUGCGUUUUUUUUUGCUCUUCAGGAAUGAGUCUCGCUGUUGCUCAUUCUGUGGAUCCCUGCUGCGUUUAUAAGCUGUAACGCUCAGCGCUAAGGUCUGCAGGUUCAGUCCUAAAACCAGUGAGACCAGCGACCCACCAGAAAAAACUAGCAACUGCAGACGCGACGCCUUUAAGAGCUGUAACACUCAUCGCGAAGGUUUGCAGCUUCACUCCUGAAGCCAGGGAGACCACGAACUCACCAGAAGAAAUAAACUCCGGACACAUUUGAGCAUCUGAAGGAACAAACUCCGAACACACCAUCUUUUAAGAACUGUAACACUCACUGCGAGGGUCCAAGGGUCUGCAGCUUCAUUUUUGAAGUCACCAAGACCAAGAACCACAAAUUCUGGACACAACAUCAUUUCCUGUGGGAUCAUAUUCUGGAAUCACAGAGCAUGACUAUGAGAUCUCAGCUAUCCAGCUGUCACAGAGGAAGUGGGAAUUUUCAACCAUGAAUGUCAAGUCAUCUUUUCAAUGUGAAGGUUUGCUACUGCCGAAUAAGAAACACCAUUUUGUUUUCAGAUGAAAACUAACGUGGGGUCGAGGCACCAGCCCGCUGUCGGCUGGCACGACCACUCCUGCGGCCUGGGCUUCAGAUUCUCUCUCUAGCUGCAGGCAUUAAAUUAUGAUGAAGGCCACAGAAAAAUGAUUAAGGUCAAAGUCUAGAAUCAAUUGUCAGCCUAUGUUAUGGACAUAACAUUUAUGUACCAUUGGGUCAUGAGGGUGGAGCGCUCAUGAAUGGAAUUAGCGACCUUAUGAAAGAGAGACUAGAGAGCUGUCUCAUCCCUUCUGCUGUGUGAGGACCUGGUGAAAAGAUGUCAGCUAUGAAACAGAAAGCGAGGCCUCAGCAGACACUACAUCUUUUGGUGCCUUGAUCUUGGACUUUCCAGCCUCCAGAACUG
rnacentral:lncRNA from 1 species